GUUGGCUGUAGGUUUAUAGCAUUAGGUCGGUGCAAAAGUAAUUGCAGUUUUUGCCAUUGAAAGUAAUGGCAAAAGUAGUAUUUGUUUCAUGUAUCUG
rnacentral:miRNA from 1 species